AAGUCGUAACAAGGUUUCCGUAGGUGAACCUGCGGAAGGAUCAUUACAUUCAGUAGCCUAGCUACUUGUUUAUACCCUUGUUUUUUGCGUACCCACUGUUUCCUCGGCGGGCUUGCCUGCCGGUUGGACAAAACUAUAACCUUUUUAAAUCUUCAAUCAGCGUCUGAAUUAUACAUAAUAAUUACAACUUUCAACAACGGAUCUCUUGGUUCUG
rnacentral:misc_RNA from 1 species